rfam:Schistosoma margrebowiei strain Zambia genome assembly, scaffold: SMRZ_contig0000246
AUCCAUUUGACGAGUCCCAAAUAGGAUGAAAACCGUGUCUUGGAU